CAGUAGCCGCGGUAAUACAGAGGGUGCGAGCGUUAAUCGGAUUUACUGGGCGUAAAGCGUGCGUAGGCGGCUUUUUAAGUCGGAUGUGAAAUCCCUGAGCUUAACUUAGGAAUUGCAUUCGAUACUGGGAAGCUAGAGUAUGGGAGAGGAUGGUAGAAUUCCAGGUGUAGCGGUGAAAUGCGUAGAGAUCUGGAGGAAUACCGAUGGCGAAGGCAGCCAUCUGGCCUAAUACUGACGCUGAGGUACGAAAGCAUGGGGAGCAAACAGGAUUAGAUACCCGUGUAGUCCCUGUCUUUAUACA
rnacentral:rRNA from 1 species